rnacentral:ncRNA from 2 species
CGGGACCUUCGCGACUGACGGAAUCAAGGUGGCAACCACCGGGGAGCGGAGGCAUAAGCAAUAGCCGACCGUCUGGGCAAAAAAC